CCAGCGUCAAGCAGAAACAUCCUUAAAGAUGUUAUACAAUAAAGUUUCUGCUUCACGCGUUCAUCAAGUGCCAACACAGAUGAGUAUUGAAUGUUAAAUGCCGGAUAGCGGCGGACGGGUGAGUAACGCGUGGGCAACCUAACCUCUAAACUGGGGGAUAACACUGGGAAACUAGUGCUAAUACCGCAUAACAUAUCGACAGGGCAUCCUGAAGAUAUCAAAGGAGCAAUCCGGUGAGAGAUGGGCCCGCGUCCAAUUAGCUAGUUGGUGAGAUAAAAGCCCACCAAGGCGACGAUUGGUAGCCGAACUGAGAGGUUGAUCGGCCACAUUGGGACUGAGACACGGCCCAGACUCCUACGGGAGGCAGCAGUGGGGAAUAUUGCGCAAUGGGGGGAACCCUGACGCAGCAACGCCGCGUGAAGGAUGAAGGUUUUCGGAUUGUAAACUUCUUUGAUGAGGGACGAAAAAAAUGACGGUACCUCAAAAAACAAGCCACGGCUAACUACGUG
rnacentral:rRNA from 1 species